rnacentral:rRNA from 1 species
GAUGAACGCUGGCGGCGUGCUUAACACAUGCAAGUCGAACGGAAAGGCUCCUGCUUGCAGGGGUACUCGAGUGGCGAACGGGUGAGUAACACGUGGGUGAUCUGCCCUGCACUUCGGGAUAAGCCUGGGAAACUGGGUCUAAUACCGGAUAGGACGAUGGUUUGGAUGCCAUUGUGGAAAGUUUUUCGGUGUGGGCUGAGCUCGCGGCCUAUCAGCUUGUUGGUAGGGUAAUGGCCUACCAAGGCGUCGACGGGUAGCCGGCCUGAGAGGGUGUAUGGCCACAUUGGGACUGAGGUACGGCCCAGACUCCUACGGGAGGCAGCAGUGGGGAAUAUUGCACAAUGGGCGCAAGCCUGAUGCAGCGACGCCGCGUGGGGGAUGACGGCCUUCGGGUUGUAAACUCCUUUCGCUAGGGACGAAGCGCAAGUGACGGUACCUGGAGAAGAAGCACCGGCUAACUACGUG